GCAGCAGUGGGGAAUAUUGCACAAUGAGCGAAAGCUGAUGCAGCGACGCCGCGUGAGGGAUGACGGCCUUCGGGUUGUAAACCUCUUUCAGCAGGGAAGAAGCGAAAGUGACGGUACCUGCAGAAGAAGCACCGGCUAACUACGUGCCAGCAGCCGCGGUAAUACGUAGGGUGCGAGCGUUAUCCGGAAUUAUUGGGCGUAAAGAGCUCGUAGGCGGUUUGUCGCGUCUGUCGUGAAAGUCCGGGGCUUAACCCCGGAUCUGCGGUGGGUACGGGCAGACUAGAGUGCAGUAGGGGAGACUGGAAUUCCUGGUGUAGCGGUGGAAUGCGCAAAUAUCAGGAGGAACACCGAUGGCGAAGGCAGGUCUCUGGGCUGUAACUGACGCUGAGGAGCGAAAGCAUGGGGAGCGAACAGGAUUAGAUACCCUGGUAGUCCAUGCCGUAAACGUUGGGUACUAGGUGUGGGGACCAUUCCACGGUUUCCGCGCCGCAGCUAACGCAUUAAGUGCCCCGCCUGGGGAGUACGGCCGCAAGGCUAAAACUCAAAGG
rnacentral:rRNA from 1 species